CACGUAGGGCGCAAGCGUUGUCCGGAAUUAUUGGGCGUAAAGAGCUCGUAGGCGGUCUGUUACGUCUGCUGUGAAAACCCAGGGCUUAACCCUGGGCUUGCAGUGGAUACGGGCAGACUAGAGGCAGGUAGGGGAGAAUGGAAUUCCCGGUGUAGCGGUGAAAUGCGCAGAUAUCGGGAGGAACACCGGUGGCGAAGGCGGCUCUCUGGAACGCAACUGACGCUGAGACGCGAAAGCGUGGGGAGCAAACAGG
rnacentral:rRNA from 1 species